UGCCUAAUACAUGCAAGUCGAACGAGAAAGUUCCGCAAGGGAUGAGUAGAGUGGCGCACGGGUGAGUAACACGUAGGUGACCUGUCCCAUAGUUGGGAAUAACAGAGAGAAGUCUCUGCUAAUACCGAAUAAGGUGAGUGAACUUGGAAAUAGCUCACGAAAGACGGCCUCUUUACAAUGCUGUUGCCAUGGGAAGGGCCUGCGGGCCAUUAGCUAGUUGGUGGGGUAAUGGCCUACCAAGGCAGUGAUGGCUAGCCGGUCUGAGAGGAUGAUCGGCCACACUGGAACUGAGACACGGUCCAGACUCCUACGGGAGGCAGCAGUAGGGAAUAUUGCGCAAUGGGGGCAACCCUGACGCAGCAAUGCCGCGUGAGUGAGGAAGGCCUUCGGGUUGUAAAACUC
rnacentral:rRNA from 1 species